CAAUGAUUUCUGCCGCCCUAGGCAAAGAUCCAUUUUGCCGCCCCCUCACUGACAGGCACACACACACACACUCACUGACAGACAUAUACUUACUCAGUGACACACACACACACACACACACACAGUGACAGUCAUACACUCACUCAGACACACAUACACACAGGCAGACACUCAGUGACACACAGAAUCAACACAAUUUUAUUUUUUGUGGCCCAUCC